CUGCCCCUCCCAGUACCCUCCUUACAGCUUAGUAAUCCCAGCAGAAAGAGAGCAUGGACCAGCUAGGGUAUGUCUGUCCCUAAACUGUACUGUUGCCAGGGGGAAGAAAUGUCCUACUGGGCAGGCCUGGUUCACGUAGCCACUCCCAGAGCUGGGGUCAGCCACAUCUCCAAACUGCUGCACAGGCAGAUGCAGCAGGCACCCACAGGGUCUGCUAAACCUUCCUCACCUCUUGAUCUAGGUACGUUCCAGCAGAGCAAGGUGAAAAAGAGCUGAAAUUGGCAUCAGAAGCCCAGAGUUCUGGUUCCAGCUCCGACCACUCAUUCAGUGUGUGACCUCAGGCAGGUCACCAGCCUGAGCUGUGCCUUCAUUUCAUCUGUCAGACGGAUGACUCUGCCCCUCAGAGCUUGCAGACGGCAAGGUGAUAAGGAACAAUAUGGACUUCUUGCAGCUCCGGGAGGCAGACGCUGGAGGGCUGGUGACCUGAUCCCACAAAGCCCCGGAGGUGCUGUGGACCAACUUGCAACACAAGACGCUAGGAGGGAGGACGGCUGUUGGCAUCUGUUGACCACAAACACGUUUGCUGUGCACACUUGUGCACAUGGGUGAGCUCCGUGGGUCCAGACAUGUACAGGGCAGGUGAAUGCAUUGAGUACCAUGGGCAUUAUCCCAGGCCCACAGGCACGUGCAGUCACACACACACGUGGACAUGCCACUGCGCACCUAAGAGACACACACACACACACACACAUGCAUAUGCACACACACACAUAUGCACACACACACAGACACUGUAAACAUCAGGCUCAAAGGCCCAUCCAGGAGACCAAAGGCUGCAGGUGUCUUCACAUCACAGCCCAGGUGACCUUGUCUCUGGCUCAGGGCCCAGUGGCCUGGCCAGCUCUGGACAUCCAGUCAGCCUCACUAGCUGGCCUGGGGUCCAGGGCUCGAAAGUGGCGGAGGAAUGACCACCCACUGGCGGAGGUAGCUCCGGGGGGGUCCUUCAUCCCCGGGGCUGGUGAAGUCACACUCCACAGGGCUGCUGCAGUCAGAGCCCACAAAGCCACUGUCAAACGUGUCCAUAUCCAGGCCGGCCAGGGGUGAGCCCGCCUCACUCUCUGAGACCCCUCCAGGUGACCGGCCACCCCAGGGCAGUCCCCCAGCCCAGUCCUCCCCAUCUGCAAGGGGUGGCUUUAGUCUGUCCAGGAGGCUUCCCAGGGGCCCUCCCAGCCCAGGGCUGCCAGCUGAGACACAGCCACAGGAGAGGACUGUGGUCCCUGCACCCAAGAGUGGGUCCUCUAGGCCUGGGCUGGGCUCCAGGCCAGCAUCCAGGUCCAGGGCUGGGUAGCCGUCAUCCUCACAGCUGCAGGGCCAGGUGCAUGGCCCCUCUGCAUCUAGCACAGUCACUGUGUCAAUGGACACCAGGCCGUAUGGCCGGUCCCUCUCCUCACUGUAAGCUGAGCCCCCCAAGUUCUGGGCUGUCGGCCAGAAGCUGGGCUUGGGCACACCGUCAGACUCCACCAGCUCUGCUGGUUCUUGUAGCUCCGUGAGCUGCAGCCUCUUGGCCGGGCUCCGUGGUGGGUGGCAGCUGUACACCUCCAGGGUGGAGGGCACCUCUGGGCUCCAGGGUCCCAGCUCCAGGCUAGAGCCAGUGAAGGGUGCACCCACCCAUUUCUGUGAGAGAGAAAAAGAGAGAGUCAUAGCACAGGAUGAGGGUAAGGGUGAGGGUUUAAACAGACAGAAAGGCAGACACAGACACAGAGACAAGACAAAGAGACAUCAAGAGAGACAGACAGAGACAUGAAGAUAGACAAAAGACACCGAGAGACAGAGAGAGAGAGAGGAAUCAGGACCACAAUGUGCUCCCACCCUAGUGGAUCCCCCUCCUACUCUGGGCCUCAGUUUCCCUACUUGUAGAAGGGAGUUGCUACCCUUAGUAGUGUGACCAGUCAGACAACUGGUGGCCCCAUAGUCCAGGCAGGGACCAAGAUUCCUGAGUCAAGGAGACAUGGGGGCAGGAGGGCCUGAGGUCUGAGGUACCCCUGAGCCAUCUCCUGCUUUCCCGCCUCCUUGAUGCUUCUUGAAACCUAGCACUCUCCUGGUUUAUGUGUCCCCACCAGACAGACACUUGGCCCCUGGACAUAAGUCUUGUCUCUUCUGUCCAUGGCUGUAGCCCCAGUGCCUAGCACAAAG
rnacentral:lncRNA from 1 species